rnacentral:tRNA from 1 species
UAGAUUAAAGUCCGCUGGCUUGGGCAUUUAGUUGUUAACUAAAUUUUUGUAGGAUCGAAGCCUGCUAAUCUAGG